AGAUGAACCCGGUACCUCAGAUGGAAAUGAUGAAAUCACCCGUUUUCUGUGUCGCUCAGGCUGGGAGCUGUAGACUGGAGCUGUUCUGAUUUGGCCAUCUUGGCUCUGAGAGAGAUAAAUAUGUACUCAAAGCAGGUGGCUCAAUCCACUUAUCAGCAUUUGGCAUACCAGGGUUCAAUGGGUAAUCACAAAGAAGAACGGGGCAGAGCUAGAGAACAGAGAGAACGCUUUUUGUGACUCAAGUGUGCAGAAGGUAAUCAACUCUUCCUAAGGAUCAGAUCUACUGAUAGAAACUGGACAAGAACUAUGCCUGAGGAACCUCAACUAAACCUGGACCUGAUUUAGAUGAAGAGAUCCUGGACCUCAAAAUUGAAUUUUGUGCCAUAAUGGGCUGAGGUCUUUUGGAGGUUUUUAGAUGGAGUGAGCAUAAUUUGGAUGUGGAACGAAUAGAAAUAACUUGUGGUCAGAAGGUGAAAGGUUAAAAAAAAUGGCUGCAAAAAUUCAAGUAAAAAUUUUUAAAAAAUUGAAAGAAAGUUGGGUUACAGAUUCCCUCACCUUGAAUCUGAGUGAGUUUGUGAUUAUAUUUUUACAAUAUGGUAGAAAUGAUGCUAUGUAACAUCUGAGGUGACACGUAAAUAAGAAAGACAAAAAUAUGCAGUGUUCAUAUUGUUCACUGGAACACCAAAUGAGAUGUGUGACUACCAGGAGGCCAUCAUGCUGUGAGUAAGCCCAAGACAAAUGGAAAGGCAAUGAGCAGACCAUUUGGUCUAUGGUCUCAGCUGACUCCAGCCUUUGCAUCUCCCCAGCUAAGACACUAAAUAUGUUUGUGAAGGAGGUUCCAGAUGAUUCCAACUCUCAUCUGUCAAGUUGAAACCAAUUUCACAAAACUUCUAUACUAAGAUUUAAUAUUUUGAAUUUUAAGUAACUGUUUACCUUUAAAAAAAU
rnacentral:lncRNA from 10 species